rnacentral:tRNA from 1 species
GGGAAUGUGGCUUAGUGGUAGAGUGCUUGCCUACCAUGCAUGAAGCCCUGGGUUCAGUUCCUCAGUACCA